rnacentral:rRNA from 1 species
UACGAGGGAGGCAAGCGUUAUUCGGAAUUAUUGGGCGUAAAGCGUCUGUAGGUGGUUUUUGAAGUCUACUGUCAAAUACCAGGGCUCAACCUUGGAAAGGCAGUGGAGUACUCAAAGGCUUGAGUUCGGUAGAGGCAGAGGGAAUUCUUGGUGGAACGGUGAAAUGUAUAGAGAUCAGGAAGAACACCAGUGGCGAAAGCGCUCUGCUGGGCCGAGACUGACACUGAGAGACGAAAGCUAAGGGAGCGAAAAGG